GACGAACGCUGGCGGCGUGCCUAAUACAUGCAAGUCGAGCGGACAGGCGCUGCUUUUGCUGGUUUCUCGUGUGGCGCACGGGUGUGUAUCACGCGUGUAUCCUGCCCCUGUCUUUGUGGUAUCUUUAGGGAACUCCGGCUCAUACCGCGUAGGAGCUCUUGAUGCGUGGUGGGGGAUGGUGAGUGUCGGCGGUUGGGGCUGGUCUCGAUGGUUAUCCGCUUGUUUGUGAGGUUGUGGCGUACCAAGGCUUUGACGGGUAGCCGGCCUAAGAGGGUGACCGGCGACAUGGGGACUACGAGACGCACCAGACUGCUACGGGAGGCAGCAGGGGAGAAUAUUGCACAGUGGGCGGAAGCGAGAUACAGCGACGCCGCGUGCGUGAUGACGGCCUACGGGGUGUAAACCGCUUUCGCCGGAGACGAAGCGGGAGUGACGGUAAUGGGUAAAAAAGCACCGGCUAACUACGUG
rnacentral:rRNA from 1 species